rnacentral:lncRNA from 1 species
UGGGGCUGGAGUCCUCAUGUCUAAGGCCCAGUGCAACGAAUGAAUUUUGGAGGGACACAAAUAUACAGACCAUCGUACUCCACAAAUAAUUAGAGAGAGAAUUAGAAGAAAACAUAAAUGUACCAUUAAUUACUGUGGGAAACAAUUUUUUAAAGACAUUAAAGUUUCCUACAUGUAUACUCAACACAAAUUUUAUUCUGACUUGAUUAGUAAUCAUGACCUUAACCGGAUCUGAUGUUUCAGACUUACAAGUUCUCAGCAAAGACAGCUCAUCCUUACACUGUCCUCCUGGAAAAUAAAACCAUCUAUAAAAAUACAAAUAGUGCUUCAUAGUACACAUGAAAGUGAAAGAGACUUCAGGUAUUAUUUGUGAAGAAUCAUAGGUUUUUUAAAAUGAGCCUAAAUGGAAAGUAUACUGAAAUGGUGACAGAAUCAUCCACUGGUCCGUGUUCCCUUUGGAAAUGUUUUCCUCCUUCUAUUACAAAAUGUUCUAAGCCAACUUCCUCUCUUGUAACACAGAAAAAGUAAUAUAAUCUGUCUGCUUUUUAGAGGAGUUGCUUUUAGCACAUACAGCCCAGAUAUGUGAAAACGCUUUGAAAAAUGAAGUGAUGUAAGUGGAGUCAUUAUUCUUAGUAUUAAAAAUAAGGGAAGAGUGACAGUGUGGGAAAACAGGAAGGGUAAGAGCUUUAGAAUCAGCUAAUGUGAAGGCCAAAUAGCAAUUCUGCCUCUCCUUUCUUUGUGUGAUGGCAAGAAGUCCCCUUACCUUCCUUGAAUAACAACAACAACAAAAAUGUCAGGCUUUCUAUACUGAAGUUUCCAGUGUCUGUACAAUUGUGUGUGUGUGUGUGAAUAUGUGAAUGUGUAUGCAUCAAUAUGUAAGAGGAAGGCAGAUGUGAAAUUGCUGGACUUCAUGGUACAUUGAAUAGAAUCGUACUAUUUGUUAUGGUUUAUAUGUGAGGCGUUCCCCAAAGCUCAUGUGUGAGACAUUGUAGGAAAGUUUAGAGGUGGUAACUGUAGCAGGUAGGGUGUGGCUGGAGGAGGUAGGUCACUGGGGCCGUGCCUUUGGGGUUUUUAUUUUAUUCCUGGUAAGUAGAGAGCUCUCUCUCUCUGCUUACGGGUACUAUAUCCUGACCUGGUUUCCUCUGAGGCCACACCCUUCCACCAAGAUGUUCUGCCUCACCUUGGGCCUAGAACAAUAGAUUUUGUCAUCUAUGGAUUGAGGCCUCUGAAAUUGAGAUCGCCAAAUAAAGUUUUCCUCCCUAAAUUGCUCUUGUCAGGUCUUUUGGUCACAGUGAUGACUAAAACACCAUUUAACACAGAAGAUGCUAUAAAGAAAGUUUUCAUUUCUUAGGGCCAAGAAUAAAAUACUUUUGUGGAAGAAAGUUACAAUGAAUCAGGGAAGUGGGAAAAAAGGGUAAAAGAAAAUCUGGUAUGGGCUGAGUUUGGAUAGAAGUGAAACUGGAAAGAAGCUUCCAGAAGCCAGCUUGGAUACCUAGAGUUGGGCUCCCAGUACCUCAAUUGGAGGUAGAUCUCAGAGCAUGACACUCUUUGCCAAACAAAUCUCCAAACUAAGAGAAGAAAACAGGUAAAGUUCUAAUGACUUCUAGGACUCACUCCAGCAUCCAAGCAAAACCAUGCCUGAGACUAAUAAGUCCAUAAAGUGUAUUCCUGGAGUGUCUGUUAUUAAGCUGCUGUCUCUUGGCUUGCAGAAUCCCAAACCCAGCAUCAUAAGGAUUCUGCAAACUGCAUUCCUAUUUUGCCACCUGACUGUAGUAGAAUCUCUUUGCCAAAGUAGGACACUAGAAAGAAACUGGAAAAUUGAGGAGGAAUGAAAGAUGGCUCCUUUGGCUUCCCAUGGACUUUCUGUGUGUUGUCUUAUUCCUGUGCUUCUCACCCUAGCAAUGCUUCUUCACCAUGGCAGUGAUACUUCUUUCUUGUAACAUUAGUUAAAUGAAAUGUGGGUUGAGAUUUCUCUAAGACUUGUAGAUCCAAGUUUAGGAGACACCUGCACCAGCUAGCUAAUACCCCAUCCUCCUUGAGCUCAAGGGCCCAGAAUCAGCCACGUGGUGUGCCCUCCUUAAAGGAUGCUUCCACCACUUCUCUUCAACACCAUACUACAGAUCUUUGCCAUUGUGAUAAUGCAAAAAUAAAAAAGGAAAUUUAAAAACAUCAGGUAGGAAGAAGUACAAUGUUUUCUCUUUGCAGAUAACAUGAUUAUUUACAUAGAAAUUUCUAAGGAUUUUAUAAAGAAAAUGCUAGAACUAAUAAAUGAAAUUAUCAAUGUCACAGGAUCGAGCUUAGUACAGGUUGAGUGUCCCUAAUUAAAAAUCUUACAUCUGAAAUGCUCCAAACCCAAGCCUUUGUAAGAGCCAACAUAUCACAAGUGGAAAAUUCCACACCUGAUCUCAUGUGAUGGGUUUCAGUCAAAAUGUAGAUGUGUUGAAAAUACUACAUAAACAAAUACUCAGGCUAUGUGCAUAAGGUAUAAAUGAAACAUAUGAAUCUUGUGUUUAAACCCAGAUCCUAUCCCCAAGUUAUCUCAUUAUUUAUGUGCAAAUAUUCCAAAAACAAAACAAAACAAAAACACUCUGGUUCUAAGCAUUUUCAAUAAGGAAUACAGGAAACAAGGAAAUAAGCUACAAAUUAUAUUCCACAGCAUACAACAUGAAAAAGAAAAUUUUGAACUUCCGUAUAUAAAAGCAUAAAAAAUAUUAAACCCUGAGAAGAUAAGGUUCUGUCGUCCAGGGUUUAGUAUAUCAUUUCAAUCAGAGAACAAUGUACGCCAUUGUCUCUUCUGCAGCCAGAAUACAUGGGUCUGAGAAAGCACAGGUGGCACUGAGUGUAGCUCCUCUCAUAAUCACACCCAAUAAUCCACCCGCAGAGGUUUUGAAUCUAUCUCUGAUGCAUUUAGUUCUAAUGUUUGGAGGACUUUGUUCACAAGAGAAAAGUCCUUACAACAAUUGUUACAUGGGACUGGUGUUUGAGACUGCUACCAGGUCAUUCUAAGUUCUUCAUACCACUAACACAGAGGUGAAGAAGGAGGCCUAUUCUGCUGACUGAGUAGUGGAUUCUGUUUCCUAGAGGAAAUGAGAUCAAUGCCAGAAAAUAUAGGCGGGAAGGACUGUUUCUGGGACCCAAGGGAUUCUCUGAGACAAUUCUUACUACCUCCUUUUCCAACAGUAAAAAUUAACUGAAAAUGGCAGAAACUCAUAAAGGGAAGAACCACUGAAGAUUCAGACUUUUCACAUAAAGAACUCUGGCUGGCUAAAGGUUUGGCUGAUGGAAGAGGACACAUGGAAUGUGUAAUGGAAGGAGGAAGUUUUAAAUACCAGCCGCUGUCCUGUGACAGGUUGCAGAAAUAUGUCCUGCCACAGCUCCACGUAGUUACUAGUUGGCAGCUGCUCUUAUUCGUCUGUGUAUAUAUGUGUGUAUGUAUAUAAAUGAUCUAUUUUAUUAUUCUUAACUCUCUUUCCCUUAUUAUUUAACAUGUUUUAUUAAAGGUCAAUUCUAUAUUUUAGUACUUAAGAAACAUAAUAUUCAGAUGGGAUUGGAUUUGAAAGUGAGGUAUAAUUAACAGCCCAGAGAUCUCUAGAAAUAUUUUAUGGUGUGGGUUUUAUCAACCUCAUUUUGGGAAGGAAGAAACCAUGAGAUAUCUAUUUAUGUGUUUUUAAUCUUAUGUUUUAAAUGUCUAUUUUGCAACUGCGUUUUAUACUGGUAAAACACACACAUAAUUUAUGCAUAGAUAAAUAAACAUACAUCAGGAGGACAUGCUAAAAAUCAUGAUGGGGAUACAUGACCAAAAAACAUUUGAAGACCAAGAGGUUAGAGCAUAACCAUAGAGACCAGAGAUACAGUUUUGCUACCUCUGUGGGCUAUUUUAGUUUUGUAAAGAGGAUACUGUAUUCCAAAGUCACAGGCAACCUUCCCUCAUGCAUUCAGUACCAUCUUGCAUAUGGCACCAGAAGUUGUGGUGCGUAAGUAGACUACACCUUCUUUCUGCUUAAAUGGUGAGUGCCCACCAUGGGCGUCAUAUCUGGAAGCCAGUGCUUACAUGAGCUUAGUCAGUAGACUCCUAGGGCAGUGAUCUAGUAAGCAUUUAGCUCACUUUAAUUCCCAUGUUCUGUCUAGUGGAAAUCUCUACAAACAAUGCAUCAGAGAUCCCCCAGAAUAACGAAAACUGAUGUUCACACAAGUCCUGAAGGAUUAUAUAAGUAUAGUAUACUUCCCCAAUCAACCUAGAAUACUAUAAUUUAUGCUCAGUUUUGUAUAUUCUUGGAACAAUGUAGCACUCCAUUAGAAAAACCAUUUUAUUGAGUUCAGUACUUCCUUUAGCUAGACCUGACAACAAAUAUUUACUGUAUUUCUUUCAUUUAAUCAACCAUCUGAUUCCUCCAUCUAUGACCUAUUUCACUGCCCAUGUAUUUACUGAAUACCUAUAAAGUGAACAGACUCAGAAAGGAGAUAGAUGAAGAAAAUGUCAAAGUCCUCACCUUUCUUAUCUAUAAAAUGAUGAAAUUGAACUAUAAUGACCUCUAAAAUCUCUUUAAUAGAAUUAGUCUGUAUUAAAUAAUGGACCCUAAGCAUCCAGAGUUGCUUUUCUAACAUUGAUCCUAAUCCCUCAAAUAUAAAAAUCUAAAGCCCCCUUCCUCUCCACCCAUUCCUUUAUUAUUGCUCAAGUCUCCUUUCAAAAAAUGUUACUGGCUCCAGAUCCUGAAGAGUUCAGUUGAUUAUUACCUAUUGUGUAAGCUAGCUGUUCCUUACUUUAAUAAAUACCUGAGAUACCCAACUUCUAAACAGGAAAGCUUCAUCUCAGCUCAUACGGUUUUGGAGGUUUCAGGUCCAUGGUAAUUUGGCCUGGUUGCUUUGGGACCUGAGUCAAGGAGGUCUAUCAUGGUGAGGAAUGCAUAGUGGAGUAGAGCCAUUCACUUACAUGGACACAGCAUGAAAGAGAAGAAAGAGACCUGGGUACCACAAUCACCCUCAAGAGCACAUCCCCAAUGACUGAAGACCUCCCUCUAGGCCUGCCUCCUAAGAUUCCAUCAAUUUCUGGUAAGAGCAUUCUGGGGAACAAACCUUUAACACACAGACCUUUGGGGACACUCCAGAUACAAAUGAUAGCACCUAUGAACAGCCAAGAAACCAAAGCAGUGUGUCAGAGAAUCUGCUUUGUGCCCAGAGCUGACCACCAGCUGUCUGGCACAGAGUGUCUGGAAAUGAGAGAUAGCCAUUAUUUUUGUGGACAAUGUUUUUCUCUCUUAAAAAUAAUUGCUAACCAUUGUUGACAGACUGCAACUUGUAAAGCUCUACUUAGUGGAAAAGCAAUUAGGGACAAACAGCACUUCAUUUCUAGUUCAUUUGGAUACUAGCAACCAGAAAAUUUUCAGAAAACCAAAGAGUGUUAUGAGUGAAUCUGAAUGAGAGAGGAGCUUUCCUUGUUAAUAAGAAGAGGCACGUUCACCUAACUGGCUGCCAGCACACACACACAUCCACACAGUUAUAUGUUCUAAAAUUUAUUUUACUAAUUAGACAGCAGCCUCCCUUCCAAAAUAUCACUCAGAACUGGGCAUUUCCCAAGUCUUUUAAAUACAUCCCAUUUGUAAAACCUCUGUUUCACAUUUCUGAAAUAAAGUUACUUGUCAUGUGCUGAUUGUUUUAAUUAAUUUCCAGUCUUCUAGUUCACCAGUUCUUGUAGACUUUGUGAUCUGUAAGUCAGACAUAAAACCUCUUAACCUAUUGAGGUAAUAUUCACACUGGAACUGGCAGUUCACUGCUUCACUAUCCUCAUGGGUAAGCCAGUACUUCCCUAGAUCUCCACUCUCUGAAAUUCUAUCACCUACAAGUUUAUUAUAUAUCAGAGCAUCUGUGGAAAGGAGUUAGUUUCUUCAUCUGAACCAUGAACCAUAAAAUAAAGAUUAAAUCUUUAUUUAAUUUUUAAUUAUUUAAAGGGCCAUGGGGUAUCAAUCAAAGCCAUUCAACUGUUACACUUGUAAUAGAAUAAAUUUCAUAGUUACUUAAAAGAGAAGAGUUGUUUUCUUUUACAUUUGAAAAGACAAGGAGAAUAUGGAUGAAAUAAGAUUUCAGUGGAUAUUUAUGGUUCAUAAUUAAAAGGGACUACGUCCUACUAAGACCCCUUAUAACUUCUAAACCUGCAAUGUGAGGACAUCAUUUUUUUUAAUAUGUUCUUUAUUUAUUGGUGAUUAGGAUUGCAC